UUCGUGGCGAACGGUCAGAGGUCGAUUCGCGAACGGUCAUACGUCGAUGCCCGAACGCACCGAACCAAUCGAACCUAGUUCACCAUUGUGCAUUUUAUUUUACUUUUCAUUUUAUCGUUUGUUGCAAAUGGAGCAUUAUGUAUAGGCUGCUUGUCUUUGCCGUGGACGACACUAAAGACCUCUAAGUUUAAGUAGCUCUCUUAGCAGAACGAGAGCCACAAUGGAUCAGGAAAUUCCAUCAAUGCACCCUGUCUCUCUUUAGUAGGGAGCCGAGGCACCCUUCUAUGACUCAGUCUUGUCACGUUACAGUAUGAGGAACUGCGCAAAAGCAGAUUGAAGCAAA